UACGGAGGGUGCAAGCGUUAUCCGGAUUUAUUGGGUUUAAAGGGUCCGUAGGCGGAUCGUUAAGUCAGUGGUGAAAGCCUACCGCUCAACGGUAGAACUGCCAUUGAUACUGGCGAUCUUGAAUAUGUAUGAAGUUGGCGGAAUGUGUGGUGUAGCGGUGAAAUGCUUAGAUAUCACACAGAACACCGAUUGCGAAGGCAGCUGACUAAUACAUGAUUGACGCUGAGGGACGAAAGUGUGGGGAUCAAACAGG
rnacentral:rRNA from 1 species